CACCAAUCAAGCCUGGCUUGGUGUUGGGCCCCGGGGGUGACCCGGGCCUCAAAGUCUUCGGCUGGAAAGCUCUGAUCUCAGCGUCGUGGUUAAACAUUCGCGAAGAAAAGAGUUGACUGCGCCGUUAAAAUUACACAA
rnacentral:misc_RNA from 1 species